UACGUAGGUGGCGAGCGUUGUCCGGAUUUACUGGGCGUAAAGGGCGUGCAGGCGGUCUGCUAAGUCUAGGGUGAAAGCUCCCGGCUCAACUGGGGAGGGUCACGCGAUACUGAUCGACUCGAAGGCAGGAGAGGGUAGUGGAAUUCCCGGUGUAGUGGUGAAAUGCGUAGAUAUCGGGAGGAACACCAGUGGCGAAGGCGACUACCUGGCCUGUUCUUGACGCUGAGGCGCGAAAGCUAGGGGAGCAAACGGG
rnacentral:rRNA from 1 species